rnacentral:tRNA from 1 species
UGGUGUAGCACAGCGGUAGUGCAGCUGAUUCGUAAUCAGCAGGUCGAGGGUUCAAUCCCCUCCACC